GGCAGUGUGGCCUAAUGGGUGGAGCACUGGACUAGGACCAAGGAUGCCUGGGUUCUAUUCUCAGCUCUGCCA
rnacentral:tRNA from 1 species